AGGUGGGUGUUCUACGCUAUGUUGCCAUAGCAACCACCCCAACCCCCAACCCCAAAGCACACAAAAAGAUAGCUCUCACCCCCACCUCUAGGAGAAACCUGGGUCUGCCUGGGAAUCUUCCCUUGAGAAUCCUCCUCUCUAAUGCACAGCCAUGCCAUUCUUGUGUCUGCACCAUCCUCAGUACCCGGCGCCAAAGACCCAUAGGGCAGUGAGACUGGUACGUUCAGUAUUCAGGCAUGUAGAGGGGGCAUCCAUCCCUUCUAGUUAACCCCUCUCUCCUCAAGCACUCACGUCCUUCACUACAGCCAACGCCAUCCUAGGACUCCCCAACUGAAGCAGUGGGCUAUGUUGGGACCCCGGCCUUCUGCUUUUUCCCAGAAAUAGACACCUGCUACCUUUAGCAAACCUCCAGGCUGUGGGAACUGCAAGGAGGAGGGAGCCAUUCCUGACACCCUCCAUCUGUACCCUCGCCAUUACUCAUUAGGCAUUCUGCCCCCUCCUUCCGCUCGUUAAGCCUUAUUUGCAUAUAUUUGCAUAAUACAGUUCAUUUGCAUUGCAGGAGGCUCAUGGUAGAAGCCAGGAAAAAAAAGAGGUGGGGGGGUGGAGAAGAGAAAAAGGGAGAGAUUUUGUUUUCAUCAAAGUGUGGGGGGAGAGCUGGGGGGGAGGCAGGAAGAGGAUGGAAAUAAAACUCAUACUACUUUCUUUCUUCCCUCCGCCCUCUCUCCCCGAGUUGGACUGAAAUGCCAAAGAGAGGUGCCAAGGGUCUGCCUUUUCUGUCCUUUUUUUUGUCUUGCUUCCUCCGGCCUUGGCUCUUCAGUCAGGGGGCCCCCCACCUUGUUGGAAUCAGGCUUCAGAAAGAAAGCUGGGUAGGAUGUGAGGCUGUGAGAAUGGAAACAUAGGAAGGGAAGAGGGAAGCCGCCAUCUUAGGUAGCUAGUGUUUAUAAAAUGGCCGCUUCUGAGAGAUGUGGGCUGAGUGCCAGGCAGGGUGGUGGGCACGAAGGAGAAUGACAACAGAAGGAAGGGUUUCCCAGCUGACCAAGAACAGACCUGAAUAUCACUAUCAGUGGGAUUAGAAAGGGAGGCGGAUGGGGGGGGGUCUCCCAGAAGAGUUCUAGGGUUCAGCAUCUAAGCAGGGUAGUAGAAGCCUCAUCCCUGUGUACAGAUCCCAGAGGACUCAAGGCUAUGGGUGAUGUCGAAGGUGCGGAAGAAUCAAGUUGGAAAGACCAGCAGGAGACAGACAGAGUAAGGUUCCUUGAAUGCUUGGUUUAUGUGCCUGGCUGGAGGAGACACCCAUGGCCUUGCAGAGGGAGCGUUCUGGUGGGAAAGCAGACACAACCCACCCUAGGCCCGUGGUUUCCCUGCAAGAAGCCCAGUGGCUUUCUGGAGGACACUUUUCCUGGAGGAAGUGACUCAAGGUAUUCAGGGGGUUGGGUAGGGGAAAUAUCAAGGAAGUAAGAAAGAACAUGGUAUAUGUGGGGACUUGCCUGACCCUCCAAAGAAGUGGAGCCUUAGAUGCUGAAGCAGAGAAACUGGCUUAAUGGCCUGGGGUUUAAGGAAGUCAGCCAUGAGUUAGCUCAGAGAUGCUAGGACGUGGCACCCGGCUGGGUGGUGCUUCGUAAUGUGUAGGAGGCUCACGUGUAUGCAACCUACUGGCUUCUCACAUUAGAAGCAAAAAGGUUUGAAGAAGUUAAGUACUGCAAGGCCAAUUGGUACUAGAAUGGAGACAGAGAGGAAGUUCUACUUAGAAACUUUCUAGAAGAAGAAAGGGGAUAAUGAGAGCAAGGAGAGAGAUCCAGGGCUUAGUCUGAGGGGAUUCUGUGAGAGCAACUGAGGUAGGGAGAAGAGCCGUGUGCGUGCUGGUCCCGAGGCUGCAAUGUAAGCAACAUGCCAAGCUUUACACAAAGGCUUCUCUGUAAGAGGCCUUGGCAGUGGCUGUCAGGUGAGGGGACUUAGCUCUCAGGGCCUUCAGGGCAUUGGGGGUAGGGCUGGAGGUGGCCUCAGACUUCCAGCAGGUCCACAUCAAAAGAAAGACUCUAAGCCUGGCUAGAACUCCCACAGAGGCUAUAUAGAGCUGGUUCCAGGCCAGGCUCCUGCCCACUGCCCAGUCAGGCCGCCAGGUCUAGGCUCAGCCUCUGCCCACCUCCUAUUCUUCCAGCUGUGCCCCCUGCACCUUCUAGCAUCUCCUUUUUCAGCCCACACAUGCCCUCCCAGGUUAUGGGUCUGGUCUCACUGGGCCCGAGCAAGUACCACAGGGAACCUCUUACACUGAGGACUGUAUUGGGAAGGAGAGAAACCACUGACCAGAAGCAAAAAGGUGUCUCGGGAGGAAGGGGGUCACUGUUUCAAGCACUCUGCUCUCCAUCUUCUUCAGCACAAGUUCUUGGUGGCCUCAAUUCACGGUCUCUUCCUGUUGAUCAGCAGUGGGCAGAGACCACCUCCCUCAUUGCCGCUUUGGGUUUGGACCGCUUUAAACAGUAAAGUGACUGUCGACGGCUCAGUCUACAGGGAGGAGAACAAAAGACAGGGUCAGGGCUGGGCAGACUGGACAGGGUAAGAUUCUGGCUCCCCUCACUUGCUAGUUGGAGGAGUGGGGAGGCGAGUUAUUAGUGCCUUUGGGCCCUGACCUUAUAGCCCUUCGUAGGGUGGUGUGCGAAUGUCCAGUGUCCAGUGCUGAAUGCUGAGGGACCCAGUAAGAGGAGGUGGCUAGAACUGGAGGGACAGUUUCCCAGAAGCCUGGGCUUUGGGAUAGCAGCUGGGGAGAGCAGAGUCACGCUAGGCUCUUGUCUAGUGACUGGAGCUGUCUGGGUCUCAGGUCUAAGGUCUUAUAGGGCAUCUGGUUGGUAUUAGUGCUACAUUCUGCUGAGGCUAUCGCCCACAUUGCCUGCAGCUGACCAUGUUCCUUCCCUCUCUCCCUUUUCUCCAGAGCAGCAUAAGCCAGGCUCUAUGGAAUGUUGGGUGAGCUGCUUGAGGAACUCCAAGGCCUGUCCCACAGUCUUCCAGCCUCCGACUCUCCGGCCCUCAGCGAGGAAGUCCCACUGGUUUUUUUGGUUGGUUUUUUUUUUUUUUUUUAAGGUUUUUUGGUUUUUUUUUUUUUUUCUCAUUCCUGUCUUGGGAGCUUUCCCCAACCAGGAGAGUGAAGAUGGGCGGAGCUGUCACACCAACUGUUAGCCUGCCUUGGCUGAGAGGAGAGGAGGCGAGGAGGGAGCGACCACCCAGCUUUAGUCGUUUUAAAACAGCUCCUGACCCUAGAAGAAGGGAAAUGGAGAUGAAGACCCAAUUGACUUGGUAUGAAGUUUAAAUGCCCCUUCAAGACUUGGGGGUCGAGGACGGUGAGAUUGGCUCAGUGGAUAGAUUCACUUGCCUCUAAGCCUGACAACCUAAGUUAAUAUCCUCUACCCACAUAUGGAAGGAAAAAAAUGAUUUCCAAAAGUUGUCCUCUGACCUCCACACAGAGACCAUGGCCUGUGCACCACCCCCCGAAAAUGUAAUAUAUUUUUUAAAAAGACAUGGGGACUUCCAUUCAGUGUCUCCCAAUGUUUGGGGAUUUCCUUUCCUUAUUUCCUUACUCCCUGUCGGUGCCCUAGAGGAGACAGAGAGAGUCUAACUACGGAGAGGUCAUUCUCUAGGUUGGUUGGUGGAAUAUUCAGGACUCCUGGGAAGGCUCCAACUGGUCCCUGAGAGUCCCAGUUUCCUCUAUCACACAGCAGAAGGUGGGGAAUGGCUGCCGUGGUUGGAAGAGCGCGUUGGUGCUGAGGGGGCCAGCUGGUUGAGAAGCAGGUGGAGAGGGAAAGGACCCUGCUUAAGAGGGGGCUGGGUGGGAAGGCUGGGUAAUUUAUGAUAUCAUUGUUCCCGCCCCUCUUCCCAGCCCCCUGCCACUUUACUGUUGCUAGGAGAUCCUGGCUGGCCCUGUCAAAUGGAAAACUCCUCCUCAGCCAGAGUAGGCCCUACCCUGAGUCACAACAGACCCUAAACACACCAGUGUCUCCUAUGAAUCCAUUCAGGUUCAGCCAGCUUGGGCGUGGGACUACCUGACCGAGCAAGUGCUUGUGUGUGUGUGUGUGUGUGUGUGUGUGUGUGUGUGUGUGUGUGUGUGUGUGUGUGAUAUGGAGGGAGCCAGGAGAUAGACUUUGAGGAUGGAGGAGCACUCUGAGGGCCUGCAGGUGACCCUGGGAACCAAGCCUGGGAAGAACCUAAGUUAAUAAUGCAAUCUUUAUCUUAGAGAGAGUGAUCUUUCAGCAGACUGAUCGAACACACAGGCUUCUCAGCCCACUCCCUCCAGUCAAGGUUAAGGCCUGGCAAAGGUGGAGGAAGAGAAGCUGAGGAGAAAAAGGCGAGGAGAGCCUAGGCACAGGAAGGUGACCGUGAGUAGAGUUGGGUGGUCCAGGGAUGUGGCUGGGAUCCCCUCUUCCUUCUGGAGUUCUCUUAGACAGUAAGGCUGAAGAGAAGCUUGGUACAGGAACUUCGAAGGUUUCUCAAGCUGCAGGUCAUGGCUACCUGUGUUUCUUAGCACUGGCCUUGACUUGGCUACCACAGGCUUUUGUCUCAGUUUAUCUGCCCUGGCUGAAACCCAAAUGAUCCUGUCUCCAGCUCCAUAAGAGCAAUCAGAGGUCCCCCAAAAUCUCUGUCUGCUCCCUAGAGUCAUGGGCUGCUUCUUGUUCUGUGCUCCACACAGGCUUCCCUCCCUCCCAGUGCUGAUUUCCUGUGGACCAGAUUCCAGCACAGUGGAGGGCCAGAGCUCAGGGAACAGACCCAGCAGCACAGCAAGUCUCCAAGGAAAGCUCUAGCAGUCUCCAGGGGCUGAAGGCAGGACUGGGGAAGCGGCUAGCCAGGCUGCAGAAGGCAAAUGCUCCCAGACGGCUGUCCAGCACGCAUCCGCCUUCCUAGCCAAGUUUCCUGGGCUCCUGCCACAGAUCUAAGCCUCAUCCUGACAUCCUGCCCUCUGUGCUCUGGGAUGGCCCAGGGGAGAUGCUUAGCCUUGGCUCCUUGUCUGCUGGUGGAGGGGACACACACCCUUUCUGGACCACAGACCAAAAAGAAGACCUGACGUCAUCCUGAGCACCCCCGCCAUGCAGAGUGUGUUCGCAGACUGCCAACGGGCUGGCUCCGGCCAGCAGAAGUGAACAGAGGUGGAGGUUCAGCCUGACAGCUUCUCCCCAAAGCCAUGGAGAGAAAACCUUACCACCCCCACCGCCCAGCUACUUCCAGCAAGUUGUCCAGCCUGACCCCUCUAUUUCCCCUGUUGUCUCUUAUCUGGGUCCCUGAGACCCACCCCAUCUCCAAUAAAGAACAUUGCAUACUGUGC
rnacentral:lncRNA from 1 species